AUGACCAAUAAACACCACCAGCAGGUGUGGCUACCGAAGACGGCUUACUGGGGUCACAUGGGUCAGAAAGGGCAGAAUCUAACUCUGUCAGAUCACCAGCUGUUUAGAGCUCAGCAGGUGUGGCUACCAAAUACGGCUCCUUGGGGUCAAACUGGGCAGCAGCUCUCUGAUUUAAUCUGGUUACUCCCUACUUCUCUGUUUAACUCUGAUUUCACCUGGUUACUCCCUACCUCUCUGUUUAACUCUGAUUUCACCUGGUUACUCCCUACCUCUCUGUUUAACUCUGAUUUCACCUGGUUACUCCCUACCUCUCUGUAUAACUCUGAUUUAAUCUGGUUACUCCCUACCUCUCUGUUUAACUCUGAUUUCACCUGGUUACUCCCUACCUCUCUGUAUAACUCUGAUUUCACCUGGUUACUCCCUACCUCUCUGUAUAACUCUGAUUUAAUCUGGUUACUCCCUACCUCUCUGUUUAACUCUGAUUUCAUCUGGUUACUCCCUACCUCUCUGUUUAACUCUGAUUUCACCUGGUUACUCCCUACCUCUCUGUUUAACUCUGAUUUCAUCUGGUUACUCCCUACCUCUCUGUUUAACUCUGAUUUCAUCUGGUUACUCCCUACCUCUCUGUUUAACUCUGAUUUCACCUGGUUACUCCCUACCUCUCUGUCUAUAUCUGAUUUCAUCUGGUUACUCCCUACCUCUCUGUUUAACUCUGAUUUCACCUGGUUACUCCCUACCUUUCUGUCUAUAUCUGAUUUAAUCUGGUUACUCCCUACCUCUCUGUUUAACUCUGAUUUCAUCUGGUUACUCCCUACCUCUCUGUUUAACUCUGAUUUCACCUGGUUACUCCCUACUUCUCUGUUUAACUCUGAUUUAGUCUGGUUACUCCCUACUUCUCUGUUUAACUCUGAUUUCACCUGGUUACUCCCUACCUCUCUGUCUAACUCUGAUUUAAUCUGGUUACUCCCUACUUCUCUGUCUAACGCUGAUUUAAUAUGGUUACUCCCUACCUCUCUGUUUAACUCUGAUUUAGUCUGGUUACUCCCUACCUCUCUGUUUAACUCUGAUUUCACCUGGUUACUCCCUACCUCUCUGUCUAACUCUGAUUUCACCUGGUUACUCCCUACCUCUCUGUUUAACUCUGAUUUCAUCUGGUUACUCCCUACCUCUCUGUAUAACUCUGAUUUCAUCUGGUUAGUCCCUACCUCUCUGUUUAACUCUGAUUUAAUCUGGUUACUCCCUACCUCUCUGUUUAACUCUGAUUUAAUCUGGUUACUCCCUACCUCUCUGUUUAACUCUGAUUUAAUCUGGUUACUCCCUACCUCUCAAUCUAACUAA
rnacentral:lncRNA from 8 species